GAUGAAGAACGUAGCGAAAUGCGAUAUUUGGUGUGAAUUGCAGAAUCCCGUGAACCAUCGAGUCUUUGAACGCAAGUUGCGCCCGAAGCCAUUAGGCCGAGGGCACGCCUGCCUGGGCGUCACACGUCGUUGCCCCCCCAUCUACUCCUUCGGGAUUGCGGGGGGCGGAUGAUGGCCUCCCGUGCGCCUCGUCGCGCGGUUGGCAUAAAUGCCAAGUCCUCGGCGACACACGCCACGACAAUCGGUGGUUGCGAAACCUCGGUUGCCCGUCGUGUGCGGUCGUCGCGCAUCGAGGGCUCGAAAAAAUUGCCGGGCUCCGGCUCGGCUUUCAACGCGACCCCAGGUCAGGCGGGGUUACCCGCUGAAUUUAAGCAUAUCAAUAAGCGGAGGA
rnacentral:misc_RNA from 1 species